rnacentral:rRNA from 3 species
GAGACUGCCAGUGAUAAACUGGAGGAAGGUGGGGAUGACGUCAAGUCAUCAUGGCCCUUACGACCAGGGCUACACACGUGCUACAAUGGCGCAUACAAAGAGAAGCGACCUCGCGAGAGCAAGCGGAGCUCAUAAAGUGCGUCGUAGUCCGGAUUGGAGUCUGCAACUCGACUCCAUGAAGUCGGAAUCGCUAGUAAUCGUGGAUCAGAAUGCCACGGUGAAUACGUUCCCGGGCCUUGUACACACCGCCCGUCACACCAUGGGAGUGGGUUGCAAAAGAAGUAGGUAGCUUAACCUUCGGGAGGGCGCUUACCACUUUGUGAUUCAUGACUGGGGUGAAGUCGUAACAAGGUAACCGUAGGGGAACCUGCGGUUGGAUCACCUCCUUA